rnacentral:SRP_RNA from 1 species
GCCAGUCAUGGUGGCGCAUAGUCCCAGCUACUGGGGAGGCUGAGGCUGGAGGAUUGCUUGAGCCCAGGAGUUCUGGGCUGUAGUGCGCUAUGCUGAUCGGGUGUCCGCACUAGGUUUGGCAUCAAUAUGGUGACCUCCUGGGACUGAGAGCCCACCAGGUUGCCUAAGGAGGGGUGAAUGGGCCCAGGUCAGAAACAGAGCAUUUCAAAACUCCCGUGCUGAUCAGUAGUGGGAUCAUGCCUGUGAAUAGCCACUGCACUCCAGCCUGGGCAACAUAGCGAGACCCCGUCUCUU